rnacentral:piRNA from 1 species
UGAAUGAGGUUAAGUGCCUGUCAUGGUU